CGCUGUGAAGAUGCAGUGUACCCGCGGCAAGACGGAAAGACCCCGUGAACCUUUACUAUAGCUUGACACUGAACAUUGAGCCUUGAUGUGUAGGAUAGGUGGGAGGCUUUGAAGUGUGGACGCCAGUCUGCAUGGAGCCGACCUUGAAAUACCACCCUUUAAUGUUUGAUGUUCUAACGUUGGCCCCUAAUCGGGGUUGCGGACAGUGUCUGGUGGGUAGUUUGACUGGGGCGGUCUCCUCCUAAAGAGUAACGGAGGAGCACGAAGGUUGGCUAAUCCUGGUCGGACAUCAGGAGGUUAGUGCAAUGGCAUAAGCCAGCUUGACUGCGAGCGUGACGGCGCGAGCAGGUGCGAAAGCAGGUCAUAGUGAUCCGGUGGUUCUGAAUGGAAGGGCCAUCGCUCAACGGAUAAAAGGUACUCCGGGGAUAACAGGCUGAUACCGCCCAAGAGUUCAUAUCGACGGCGGUGUUUGGCACCUCGAUGUCGGCUCAUCACAUCCUGGGGCUGAAGUAGGUCCCAAGGGUAUGGCUGUUCGCCAUUUAAAGUGGUACGCGAGCUGGGUUUAGAACGUCGUGAGACAGUUCGGUCCCUAUCUGCCGUGGGCGCUGGAGAACUGAGGGGGGCUGCUCCUAGUACGAGAGGACCGGAGUGGACGCAUCACUGGUGUUCGGGUUGUCAUGCCAAUGGCACUGCCCGGUAGCUAAAUGCGGAAGAGAUAAGUGCUGAAAGCAUCUAAGCACGAAACUUGCCCCGAGAUGAGUUCUCCCUGACUCCUUGAGAGUCCUGAAGGAACGUUGAAGACGACGACGUUGAUAGGCCGGGUGUGUAAGCGCAGCGAUGCGUUGAGCUAACCGGUACUAAUGAACCGUGAGGCUUAACCUUACAACGCCGAAGCUGUU
rnacentral:rRNA from 1 species